GAAAACCAACUGGGAUUACCUUAGUAACGGCGAGUGAAGUGGUAAAAAGCUCAAAUUUGAAAUCUGGUACUUUCAGUGCCCGAGUUGUAAUUUGUAGAAUUUGUCUUUGAUUAGGUCCUUGUCUAUGUUCCUUGGAACAGGACGUCAUAGAGGGUGAGAAUCCCGUUUGGCGAGGAUACCUUUUCUCUGUAAGACUUUUUCGAAGAGUCGAGUUGUUUGGGAAUGCAGCUCAAAGUGGGUGGUAAAUUCCAUCUAAAGCUAAAUAUUGGCGAGAGACCGAUAGCGAACAAGUACAGUGAUGGAAAGAUGAAAAGAACUUUGAAAAGAGAGUGAAAAAGUACGUGAAAUUGUUGAAAGGGAAGGGCAUUUGAUCAGACAUGGUGUUUUUGCAUGCACUCGCCUCUCGUGGGCUUGGGCCUCUCAAAAAUUUCACUGGGCCAACAUCAAUUUUGGCGGCAGGAAAAAUCUUUGGAAUGUAGCUACCUCGGUAGUGUUAUAGCCUUUUGAAAUACUGUCAG
rnacentral:rRNA from 1 species